rnacentral:rRNA from 1 species
CCAGACUCCUACGGGAGGCAGCAGUGAGGAAUAUUGGUCAAUGGGCUUACGCCUGAACCAGCCAAGUCGCGUGAGGGAAGACUGCCCUAUGGGUUGUAAACCUCUUUUGUCAGGGAGCAAUUGGCGCUACGUGUAGCGUUAUCGAGAGUACCUGAAGAAAAAGCAUCGGCUAACUCCGUGCCAGCAGCCGCGGUAAUACGGAGGAUGCGAGCGUUAUCCGGAUUUACUGGGUGUAAAGGGAGCGUAGGCGGCGCGUUAAGUCUGAUGUGAAAACCCGAGGCUCAACCACGGGAGUGCAUUGGAAACUGGCGGGCUGGAGUGCCGGAGAGGUAAGCGGAAUUCCUAGUGUAGCGGUGAAAUGCGUAGAUAUUAGGAGGAACACCAGUGGCGAAGGCGGCUUACUGGACGGCAACUGACGCUGAGGCUCGAAAGCGUGGGGAGCAAACAGGAUUAGAUACCCCGGUACC